UACGGAGGGUGCAAGCGUUAUCCGGAUUCACUGGGUUUAAAGGGUGCGUAGGUGGAUCGGUAAGUCCGUGGUGAAAUCCCCGAGCUUAACUCGGGAACUGCCGUGGAUACUAUCGAUCUUGAAUACUGUGGAGGUAAGCGGAAUAUGUCAUGUAGCGGUGAAAUGCUUAGAUAUGACAUAGAACACCGAUAGCGAAGGCAGCUGACGAAACUGUAACUGACGCUGAGGCACGAAAGCGUGGGGAGCAAACAGG
rnacentral:rRNA from 1 species